ACAGCAAUGUGGAAGUGUA
rnacentral:piRNA from 1 species